CACGUAGGCGGAUUGAUUAGUUGGGGGUGAAAUCCCGGGGCUCAACCCCGGAACUGCCUUCAAUACUGUCAGUCUAGAGGUCGAGAGAGGUGAGUGGAAUUCCGAGUGUAGAGGUGAAAUUCGUAGAUAUUCGGAGGAACACCAGUGGCGAAGGCGGCUCACUGGCUCGAUUCUGACGCUGAGGUGCGAAAGCGUGGGGAGCAAACA
rnacentral:rRNA from 1 species